rnacentral:rRNA from 1 species
AUUGAACGCUGGCGGUAGGCCUAACACAUGCAAGUCGAACGCGAAAGUCCUUCGGGAUGAGUAGAGUGGCGGACGGGUGAGUAACGCGUAGGAAUCUAUCCUGUAGUGGGGGAUAACGUUUCGAAAGGAACGCUAAUACCGCAUACGCCCCAAGGGGGAAAGCGGGGGAUCUUCGGACCUCGUGCUAUAGGAGGAGCCUGCGUCGGAUCAGCUAGUUGGUGAGGUAAAGGCUCACCAAGGCGACGAUCCGUAGCUGGUCUGAGAGGAUGAUCAGCCACACCGGAACUGAGACACGGUCCGGACUCCUACGGGAGGCAGCAGUGGGGAAUAUUGCGCAAUGGGCGAAAGCCUGACGCAGCCAUACCGCGUGUGUGAAGAAGGCCUUCGGGUUGUAAAGCACUUUCAGUGGGGAGGAAAAGCUGGUGGCUAAUAUCCAUCGGCCGUGACGCUACCCACAGAAGAAGCACCGGCUAAUUCCGUGCCAGCAGCCGCUGUAACAC